CUAGAGUGGGGGACAACAGUUGGAAACGACUGCUAAUACCGCAUAAGCCCACGGUACCGCAUGGCACUGAGGGAAAAGGAUUUAUUCGCUUUAGGAUGGACUCGCGUCCAAUUAGCUAGUUGGUGAGGUAACGGCCCACCAAGGCGUCGAUUGGUAGCCGGACUGAGAGGUUGAACGGCCACAUUGGGACUGAGACACGGCCCAGACUCCUACGGGAGGCAGCAGUGGGGGAUAUUGCACAAUGGGGGAAACCCUGAUGCAGCGACGCCGCGUGGAGGAAGAAGGUUUUCGGAUUGUAAACUCCUGUCGUUAGGGACGAUAAUGACGGUACCUAACAAGAAAGCACCGGCUAACUACGUGCCAGCAGCCGCGGUAAAACGUAGGGUGCAAGCGUUGUCCGGAAUUACUGGGUGUAAAGGGAGCGCAGGCGGGAAGACAAGUUGGAAGUGAAAACCAUGGGCUCAACCCAUGAAUUGCUUUCAAAACUGUUUUUCUUGAGUAGUGCAGAGGUAGAUGGAAUUCCCGGUGUAGCGGUGGAAUGCGUAGAUAUCGGGAGGAACACCAGUGGCGAAGGCGGUCUACUGGGCACCAACUGACGCUGAGGCUCGAAAGCAUGGGUAGCAA
rnacentral:rRNA from 1 species